rnacentral:lncRNA from 1 species
ACAAUUUGAAUUUAUUUUGUUUUUACGCAUUAUUCUUUUUCCAUUUUGUUUUUACAUGUUAGAACUUUCAUUUCACUAAGUUUUUUUUUAUACAAUUUCUUUACACUUUUUUUUAUAGAUACGAAUAAUAAUUUUUUAACUUAACUUUUUCUUCUUCUAAUAAUUAAAUGUUUUAUUAAAAUUUCUAUAAAAUAUUUUUUGUAAUAAAAAUUAAAAAGUAUAAAUAAAGAGAAGUAUUUAAAAAUUUUAUCAAAAAAUAAUAUUCAACAAUUU